rnacentral:misc_RNA from 1 species
AUCCAUCAACUCGCUGUAAGGGUCUGAAGAUGCGCUGCAGGGCUCCAAUACUCCCCAAGCAACCACAGCUUCGAGCUGCCCGCCCUUCCCGCUCGCCUCGACUCGCUCCAGUUCCUCCUCCCGAUCUUCAUCAGUUGGACGAACAGGCUCGCGACCGGCAGCUUGCGGCGGACUCGAAGCUGGCGAAAAGAGUUUGCAGUGGUGUGUUUAUUCGGAGCAGCUGCUCACGCAACCGACGCAGGAUCGGCCGGCCCGCUUCGACCUCGACGCACCUUCCUUCUCCCUCGACCUGCCCCUCGCUCGCGCCUCGCCCGGGGCUUUGCGUGCGAACGUGGCCACGUUGCUACUGUAUGAAGCUUCGACCUACUAUUGAGGUGCUCACAGAAACCGACACGUACAAGCUCAUCCGCCGAGCGCUUCUUGGAGGUUCCCGUUUGCAGUCCACUUGACGAAGCAGACGACGCAGGCGACCCCGGACCACAACAAGCAGUCGUCGCUCGACAAGGAAUGGACGGCUCGUUCUUCGACUCGAACGGGAUGGGAUCUGAUGCUCGCGACAGGUGUAUCCGGGACGCGAAGGGCCUCGGCAAGGACGGUUACGACCAGACUAGCUUCAACAAGGACAGCAAGAACCGCAACGAGGCGCCUCGCUCAGCGCGGCUACGACGCCUCGGGCGAGUACGUCAUGUCGACGUCACAAGCGGGAGCUAUCGACGCGAAAAGCGGGAGUUAUCGCGCAACAUUCGGGUCGAACCUUUCCUCGACAGUCGUCUCUCCUCACUGCUUUCGCUUCUCCCUUCCUCCCCCUCUUCUCACAUGUGCCGCCCGUUCCAACCGCGGUGCGGGAUCCUCCUUUCUCUCCGUCGUAGCUCUUUGUCGUGCAUUGUUCGUUGGAACGCAGCUUUCGCUCCUCGUCUGGC